GCCAGCAGCCGCGGUAAUACAGAGGGUGCAAGCGUUAUUCGGAAUUACUGGGCGUAAAGCGCGCGUAGGCGGACUGUUAAGUCGGUUGUGAAAGCCCUGGGCUCAACCUAGGAAUUGCAUCCGAUACUGGCAAUCUAGAGUUUAGGAGAGGGAAGUGGAAUUCCUGGUGUAGCAGUGAAAUGCGUAGAUAUCAGGAGGAACAUCAGUGGCGAAGGCGACUUCCUGGCCUAAAACUGACGCUGAGGUGCGAAAGCGUGGGUAGCGAACGGGAUUAGAUACCCCGGUAGUCCACGCCGUAAACGAUGUCAACUAGCUGUUGGCCUUAUUAAAAAGGUUAGUAGCGUAGCUAACGCGCUAAGUUGACCGCCUGGGGAGUACGGUCGCAAGAUUAAAACUCAAAGGAAUUGGACGGGGGCCCGCACAAGCGGUGGAGCAUGUGGUUUAAUUACGAUGCAAACGCGAAGAACCUUACCAUCCCCUUGACAUCCUGCGAACUUUCUAGAGAUAGAUUGGUGCCUUCGGGAACGCAGUGACAGGUGCUGCAUGGCUGUCGUCAGCUCGUGUCGUGAGAUGUUGGGUUAAGUCCCGCAACGAGCGCAACCCUUAUCUUUAGUUGCUACCAUUUAGUUGAGAACUCUAAAGAGACUGCCGGUGAUAAACCGGAGGAAGGCGGGGACGACGUCAAGUCAUCAUGGCCCUUAUGGGAUGGGCUACACACGUGCUACAACUGGGGGGUACAAAGAGCAGCUAGCUGGCGACAGUGCGCGAAUCUCAUAAAACCUCUCGUAGUCCGGAUCGGAGUCUGCAACUCGACUCCGUGAAGUCGGAAUCGCUAGUAAUCGUGAAUCAGAAUGUCACGGUGAAUACGUUCCCGGGCCUUGUACACACCGCCCGUCACACCAUGGGAGUGGGUUGCAAAAGAAGUGGGUAGUCUAACCUUCGGGAGGGCGCUCACCACUUUGUGAUUCAUGACUGGGGUGAAGUCGACACAAGGUAGCC
rnacentral:rRNA from 1 species